UAAAAAAUAACCCCUUCAGGAAGAGCUUAAGAGUAAUUCAAUAAAGUGGGAACGUUCACCAUUAAACCCCAAUGGUGUACAAAAAAUAAAAAUGCAAACAAAGAAGCAUCCAUCAGGAGGAGGCUUACCGGGCUUAGGGCCUUUGGAGGGUCUGCAGACUUGUCAGCAGGCAGGGACAUGGCUGCUCCAACACACAGAUGCGUAUGCCAUUCUUUGUCCAGCCGGCAUUUAUCCAGUACUUCCGGGUCACACUCUGUCCCCGAGUCUUGUAAUGCCGGCUUCCUCCCCUAGCUUGCCCCGCAUGGAGGUGCGGUAUCGCCAGGGGCUGCCUGCGAUUCGCAGGACUUAUGCCUAGACACCGGAAGGGCCUGUAUCUUGCCCUGGAUCCCAGCGCCCUGCUGCAGCCCUUCUGAAAAUUUAACCAGAGGAAC